GGCGUAAAUGGUGCAGCUGGCUAAGCGCGAGCCCUCAAAAAGGGUUAAAUAUGGGUUCAAGUCCCGCCUGACGUCA